GACGAACGCUGGCGGCGUGCUUAACACAUGCAAGUCGAACGGUGACCCAGGGCUUGCCCUGGUGAUCAGUGGCGAACGGGUGAGUAACACGUGGGCAACCUGCCCCUGACUUCGGGAUAACUCCUCGAAAGAGGAGCUAAUACCGGAUACGACCACUUGGACAUCCGAUGGUGGUGGAAAGUUUUUCGGUCAGGGAUGGGCCCGCGGCCUAUCAGCUAGUUGGUGGGGUAAUGGCCUACCAAGGCGACGACGGGUAGCCGGCCUGAGAGGGCGACCGGCCACACUGGGACUGAGACACGGCCCAGACUCCUACGGGAGGCAGCAGUGGGGAAUAUUGCGCAAUGGGCGAAAGCCUGACGCAGCGACGCCGCGUGAGGGAUGAAGG
rnacentral:rRNA from 1 species